GAAGUAUCCAGAAGAGGUCAGCGUUCGCUGGCUUCUAGGUUACCCCCCUGAGACUUUUCCAUAGGUAUGUUUUGCUUAGAAAAAGCCGAGCUGUCUGGAAGGAUUGAUCGGGAAGGGUGCGGCAGUAUUCAUGAGCUUCUUCCUGGGGAUUUGAAUGCAUUUUGUUUGCAGUAGAGGGAACGGAGACAAUAUGCACAGAAACAACUCCACUGAGCACACCAUCAGGGCUGAAAUAUUUUUCAACCAACAACUCAGGAUUUUAGGAGCCGAAUGUUGGUUUUAGGCUUGACAGUAUUAUUCCGGCUGAGAUUUGUUUUUGCUCCGUAGUGCAAAUCUAUGGCCACACUGGAGUUGCUCCAGCAGAACAAGUGCUAGACCACAUCUCUGCUGACAAUCAGUCAUUCCUUUUGUAACGUAAGCCUUUCACACAUACUUCUCUCUUAUUGCUAUGAGUGUCAUCAGCGUCUGCAGCUGAGGAUCGUCUUCUGCUGUGCUUUUUGCCUCCCAGUAUGGUCAUUGAGUGUUUGUGUGCCCAUGGGAAGAACAUCAGGGCCCCACAGUCACAUGUAGGUCUGACUGUGGAGCAUUAUACCUCAGCACUCUCAGGUUGAAUAUUACGAAAAAAUUAUUCUCCUAGAUGAGUUUGGAGGUCUUUUUGAACGUUGGUGAUUCUAUGUGAUUCCUUCUACAGCCCCCCUGCAGGUAGUGGGAGAGAGCGAUGAGGUCCCCCCUGAGCCUCCGCUUCUCCAGACUGAACAAUCCCAGCUCCCUCAGCCACUCCCCAUAACACCUGCGCUCCAGACCCUGUACCAGCUUUCCUGCUUGUAGUGAGGGGCCCAACACUGAACACAGUACUCGAGGUGCAGCCUCACCAGCGCUGAGUACAGAGAGAUGAUCACUUCCCUGCUCCUGCUGGCAACAGUUUCUGACACAAGCCAGCAGGUCAUCAGCCUUCCUGGCCACCUGGGCACACUGCUGGCUCUUGCUCAUCUGAGCAUCGACCAACACCCCCAAGUUCCCUCAUAAGAAGGUUUGUGUUGGAAGGGAUGACAGAAACAGAGGAUGGCUUGUGUUAUAAGGGACCUUUAAGAUCGUAGAACCACAGAAUGGCUUGUGUUGGAAGAGUGGAAGAUUAAAGAACCAAAGGAUAGCUUGUACUGCAAGGAUCCAUGAAGACCACAGAACCGUAGGAGGGUUUGUAUUGCUAGGAUCCUUGAAGAUCAUAGAACCCUAGGACGGCUUGAGCUUGAAGAGUCCUAAACGAUCAUAAAGCCGCAGGAGGGUUUGUGUUGGAAGUUGUUCUUGAAGACGAAGAUGAUAGAACCCUAGGAUGUCUUGAGUUUGAAGGGUCCUAGAGCCACAGGAUGGCUUGUGUUGGAAGGGUCUUUGAAGAUCACAAAACAUGGAGUGGCUUGCGUUGGAUGUGUCCUUGAAGACCACAGAACCAUGGAAUGGCUCGAGUUAGAAGGGUCCUUGAAGAUCACGGUACAAUGGACUGUCUUGUGUUGGGAGUGUCCUUUAAGAUCACGAACUCACAGGGUGGCAUGUGUUUGUACAGGCCUUGAAGACCGCAGAGAAAGUGCUGAGGGUUACUAUGUACUUCUCAGGUGUGGAGAGUUACCCUUUUGGGUUACGGCUAAGGAUUACCCUUUUGAGUUAGGGUUAAGGGAUAAAGGUUCCCCAUUUGAGUUUAGGGUUAAAGGUUAACAUUUUGGGUUAGGGAUACGGGUUAAGGCUUACCCUUUUGGGUUAGGUUUAAGAGUUUCCUGAUUGUGUAAGCGUGAAGGCUUUCCCUUUUUGCUUAUGAUUAAGCAUUAAGGUUUAUUACUCUGUAGGGUUAGGGGUUAUCAUUUGGGGUUAGGUUUAAGGGUUAAGGGUUUGCUAUUUGUGUUAGGGUUAAGAAAUACCAAUAUGUUUUAGCAUUAAGGGUUACCCAUUUGGGUUAGCAUUAAUGGUCAAGCGUUGCCAUUUGGGGUUAUUGUUAAGGUUAACCAUUUGGGGUUAUGUUUAGGAAUUACCAUUUACUGCCAGGGUUACGUUUUGAGGGUUACUGUCCCAGGUUAGGACAGAAAGGUUUCCCAUUUGGGUUAGUGUUAAGGGUUACAAUUUUGGUUUGGGUUGAGGAUUAUCUGUGUGAGUAAGCAUUGAACAUUCCUCUUUUGGGGCUAGCAUUAAUGGUUACCCAUUUGUGUUUGGGUUACCAUUACGGGUAAUGGUUAAGGGUUAGCAAUUUGGGUUAGUGUUAAUGUUUACCAUUUAGAGUUAGGGUUAACGAUUAAGAGUUGCUGUUUGGUGUUACAGUUAAGGGUUCCAUUUCUGGGUUAGUGUUCAGGUUAAGUAUUACCAUGUUGUGUGUUAGUGUUAAGGGUUAUUCUUUCAAGGGUUAUUCUUUCAAUCAAACUGUUAAGUGUUACUCAUUUGUGUUAUGGUUAAGGAAUACCUAUUCUGGUGAGGGUUAAUGAUUAAGGGUUACUAUACCGGAACAGUUAAGUCAAAGCCUGAACCAGUGAUUGAGCACCUAGUGAAGGGGCAUAGGCGGCCCUGGGAGCACAGGUGGAAGCACUUCACAUGUGCAAACUGCUGUAGCAUGGCUCCGCCCCUCUCAAGCCUCAUUUAAGCAGGUCUUCUGCUUGGAGAUCCUCUUUUGUGGUAUUCUGUGGACUCUGACCCUUAGCAAUUCUUCAUUUAUGGGUUGUGACAUUUCCCUUUCCUGGAGAUUUUAAGACUGGUUUGAAGCAGCUGUAUCGAGCCAGGCUGUGGCUUUUGGGCAGGGUGAACUGACUGAUGUUUGUAAAUAUCUGAAGGGAGGUGACAGGUAAUGGAUGAGGCCUGGCUCUUCUUGGUGUUGUGCAGUGCUAAGACAAAGAGCAAUGUUGUAAAACUCCAACAUGUUGUGUUCCAUACAAACAUGCUGAUGAACUUCCUUACUGUGAGGGUGACAGAGGUCUGGAACAGGUUGCCUGGAGAGGUUGUGGAGUCUUCUAUGGAGAUACUCUUGACUCAUCUGGAUGUCUACCUGUGAGGCUUACUGUAGGGUGCCUCCUUUAGCGUGAGGUUUCGACUCAGUGAUUUCUUGAGGUCCUUUCCAACCCCAACAGUUCUGUGAUUCUGUGUGACAGAAACUCCUGGUAAGACAGAGGAUGAAGAUGGGGAGGAGGAGGGAGAGAUAUAAAUCAUCUGAGCUCUGAUGCUGGCUGAGCUGCACGAUACGCAAAAGGAUUAUGGCCAUCGGCCAAAUGUGCACAUUGCCACUGGGCUGUUGCCGUGCUGGGGUGGUGAGGUGAGUAGCCUGGACUUAGUGGGCAGUGAAGCCAAGCAGCUGAGAUGUCUUUCUAGGGAAAGCGAUAUUCCCAGAGGAACUGGGAAAGGGACGCAGUCUUUUUCCCAGUGGUGGGGACCCUUGUCAGCUGCGAGGGAAAGAUCCUUUCAAGGGAGACUUGGUAUCUAACCCAGGCAAAUGAGCCACCAUGGAGAGAGGUAUCCAGUAUGUGAGUGAACUAGCUGUUCUAGAGAUGAUGUAUGUUAUUAAAUUACACAGUAAUACACUAUCCCAAGAUCCAGAUGAAAUCAUAUGUAUGAGAUCUAUGUGGAGAGUUUUACAGAAUGCAUCACCAUCAUAUGCCAGCACCCUGGCAGGAGUGAACUGGAAAGAGAACCCAAGGCCAAAGGUGAAUGAAGUAGCCAACCUGUUUUGGCAAUAGGAAGAUAGGCUUUCUUCAUCCCUCUGGGCCUAUGUCUCAGCUGUGGAGAAGUUGCCCCAGGAGUUCUAGCAAUUCCAAGACUAUAUGCCCUGCUUCCCGUCUGUACAACCAGUGUCUCAUCCAUUAGAACUAAGCAUUCGCUGCUUG
rnacentral:lncRNA from 1 species